rnacentral:rRNA from 1 species
AGCAGCCGCGGUAAUUCCAGCUCCAAUAGCGUAUAUUAAAGUUGUUGCAGUUAAAAAGCUCGUAGUUGAAUUUCGGGAUCAAUUGAUUGGUCAUGCCUACGGUAUGUACUAGUCAUAUUGGUUCUCACCUUCUAAUGAACCUUAAUGUCAUUCACUUGAUGUUUUGGGGAAUUAGGACUGUUACCUUGAAAAAUUAGAGUGUUUAAAGCAGGCUUACGCUUGAAUACAUUAGCAUGGAAUAAUGAAAUAGGACAUCGCAUUCUAUUUUGUUGGUUUCUAGGAUCGAUGUAAUGAUUAAUAGGGAUAGUUGGGGGCAUUAGUAUUCAAUUGUCAGAGGUGAAAUUCUUGGAUUUAUUGAAGACUAGCUACUGCGAAAGCAUCUGCCAAGGAUGUUUUCAUUAAUCAAGAACGAAAGUUAGGGGAUCGAAGACGAUCAGAUACCGUCGUAGUCCUAACCAUAAACUAUGCCGACUAGGGAUCGGAUGAUGUUAUUUUUAAUGUA